UCACCACACAUGGAAUAAUUAGCAGUGGGUGGAGCAAGGAGAGUUGGAAAAAUGCAGGACUGGUGAUCUCCAGAAGCAGGGUUGAUGACCCCUGA